UUUUUUUUUUUUUUUUUUAAUAUUUAUUUAUUUAUUUUAUGUAUGUGAGUACACUCUCACUGUCUUCAGCCACACCAGAAGAGGACAUAGGAUCCCAUUACAGAUGGUUGUGAGCCACCAUGUGGUUGCUGGGGAUUGACCUCAGGACCUCUGGAAGAGCAGUCAGUGCUCUUAACCCCUGAGUCAUCUCUCCAGCCCCUGCUUUUCUUUUUGCAGCUUCAGAAGAUACAGGAAUUCCUCCCACCCCUCCUUGGGGCAGUCUCUCCAGCUUGACUGGCCCAGCCGCCCAGCACACAGCUCAGCAGUGCCCAGCACACAGCUCAGCAGCGCCCCCACCUGGUGCAUUUGCUGCCCACACACGUGCUCUGUGCGGCUUAUAGUCAGGGCAGAAGCCAAGCCUUCCCUGCCCUCAGGAAUUUGGGGACCAGAGGAGACAAGAGUAAAAAUAAAUAAAUAAAUUAAUUAAUUAAUUAAAAAAAAAAAAAACCCUGCCCUUCUCACUUGGCAUGACCUGGACUGAGGUUGUGUGUAUGAGCUUAGGAGAGAUGGUUUGUAUCAUGAGGGUGUCCCUGCUAGGGACAUCCACAGGCAGCUUUUCCUUCUACAGUGCCUCUGGCUGCUGUGGGGAGUUGGGCUGUGGAACAUGAGUUGGCUAAGAAUAGCAGGAUGGAGACUGGAACUUUGGCUAACAGGGUGGGAAUUAGGCCAGAGCUCUGCAUCCUUUUGUGUUUCUCAAGUUCUGGGAUUACAGGCUCGUGCCUCCACCCCUCCUGAAGCCUAUUAUUAUUAUUAUAUUAUUAUAAAUUAUUAUUUUGUUUUGUUUUUGAGACAGGGUUUCUCUGUGUAAUAGAGCCCAGCUAUCCUGAAUCUUGCUUUGUAGACCAGGCUGGCCUAGAACUCACAGAGAUAUCCCAAGUGCUAGAAUUAAAGGCAUGUGCCACUGUGCCUGACAAAACCAGUAAUUAUUAAAUAGAGGAUAAAUUUAAGCCAGGCACUGGUAUAUGCCUGUAAGCCCAACACCUGCAAAGGGAAGUGGAGGCAGGAGAGUUCAUUCUCUUGAGAACGUAGGAGUUUGAGGCAAGCCUGAGUUUCAAGAGAUUCUCUGGAAGACACCUAGGAAACACACAUACACACUGGGAUUCCUGAUUGUGCGAAUGCGCAGGUCUCAGCAUCUGUAUGUUUCUUCUGUCUGUUUUGUCCUGUUCUGAUGUGUUCUUGUUUUAUCUGAUUAUUUUUCACCGUGUUAUACUUUAUUAUUAUUCAUUAGCAGCCUGUUUGUUUUCUAAUGAGAGCCAGACAGUGGAGAUUCAUGUGUGAGAGGAGGUGAGGGGGAACCGGAAGAAAUAGAACAGAGGAACACACAAUCAGGAUCUAGUAUAUAGAAAGAAAUCCUAUUU
rnacentral:lncRNA from 1 species